UAUUUUUGGGUCAAAAUUGGGUUAAAAAAAAGUCAAAAUCGAUUAAUUUUGGUCAAAAUGCUGGGUAACUCAAACCAGAUCAAAUAUUACUGGUAUACUGAUCGGUUCAAUUGGAGGCGUAGUUUUAAGAACAAAUCCGAAUGUAUAUGUAGUUUUAUUGAGAAUAAAAAAAUUUUGGGUGGUUUUUCUAGUGGUAAAAAUUGUGGGGUAGAAUAUUGAGAUUAUAACUAGUAUAGGGCUGAAAAUUCAUCCAACCUUAUUUAAAAAUCAAAAUAAAUAGAAACCAACUAAAAACACUUAACCUAAUCCUAAUAUAACAUAGCCUUUCCAUUACUUUGCUAACUCAACCACAAAACAUAACUCCCUUAUCCUUUUUUCAUGCUGCUUCUUCUUCUUUUUCUGGAUUUGUUUUAUUUUUUAUUUUUUAUCCUACAUUUCCUUUUUUCCAUCAUCAUCAUCAACAAAACUUUAGAUCUCUUCGCGUUUCUCAUCGACCUUUGUUCUUGUCUUCUUCUCCAUCACCAUAGCUUCACAUAUGUGAGAUCCAACGACAACCUUGAUCUAGAUUUAAGGUUUUGUUGUAGAAUCGGCAAUAGUAAUAGAGAUAAAGAAAGGUCAUCAAAUUACAGUGACAGGCGAUAAUCAGUAACGCUGAUAGAAAAAUAACAGUGCUAUGGUUUAGGAAUUAUAAGUUGUUUCAGUACUUAGGCCAAGUCAAACGUCACGGGAAAACGUUAAAAUAACGUGGGCAUGUUUACUUUUUCACUCCAAUCAGACAGUAUAAUUUGCACUAUAAUAGUGUGGUUCUCUUUUUUUGUACAGUGUAACACUAUAUUUGGUGUACUACUGUAGCCACGACAAAUAUUAAAAUAAUA
rnacentral:sRNA from 1 species